rnacentral:lncRNA from 1 species
GGGGGUAUACGGUUUCAUCCUAAUCCACUCUCAAAUAUAUACUAUUCUUACUAAAUUUGACUUUGUUAUCAAUGUUCAUGCCACUUUCUAAUUUACCCUAAUCCCAAUGACUUGGUGAAAAAAGCCUACUCAUAAUUACUAGUUUACUAUGUCUAGUCUCCCUAGCAAUUAUUCAUGCAUUUGCACAAAAGCUUAAGGCAAUUGAUCCUCCUAUUCCUAUGUCUAGGUAAUAUUGCUAUCAAGAGAAUUUCCCAUGUCUAGACCUAACUAUAUGUGUCCAUAUAGAAAACAUCAAAGAUUAUGCGUUUGAAUAAUGUCUUAAACAAAGCAUGAAUUAUAACAGAGGAAAAACUCAAACAAAUGAUAAACAAAACAUAUGAAUAAAGUAAGAAUUUCAAUAUAAGAGAGUUUCAAAUACGAUUACAUCGUUC